AGUCAUGGAAAAGUUUGUAAUCCAGAGUGUAAGGCCAGCUGGGUGGUCUGUUCUCAUAAAUUGGCAUGGAAGAAUCGUAGGUGAAGUUGGUGUCCCAAAGCAUUUUGAACAUGUUGUUACCACCGACCUGAUAAACCAUUGAUAUCAAAUUCAUUACGAUACACCGUGUGAAUGGCCCGAUCGACCUAGUCUUUACUGAUUGCAACACAAUAUAGCGUGUCCAUAAUUGCCAGCUGAUGAAAUAGUAUGUUAGUGUAUCAAUGAUCAUACGUCGAUAAUGAAGAACAUGAGCGAAAAAAAGAAUUGUCACACUCUGUAUAGCAACUCGAUUCAAGGAGGAGAAGAAAGAGAUUUCCUAGUCCCGUGUCUUCCGCCACAGGCAACGAUAAUGGUCGUAUACGAAAAAGGAUCAUGGCAAAAAAUGAUAUGGUCUGUUCAAUAAUCACGUAAGCGAUUGUGACAAAUACGGAUGUUGUCUAAUAUUAUAUCCGCCUACUGUGCACUCAUAUAAAUUAUAUAUACAGUAGAGCCAUUGUGUCUUAUGUACAUCCGCCUCUGACGGAAAAAAUUGAAUUUUGCCUAAUUAAAAUUUUUAUAUAAUAUUCUUUUUAGGUCUACCGUCUUUGGGUGAUUGGUACUUACGAGACCGUAUGGGAGGCUAUUUCGUGACCGGAAGCAUAGAGAUUUUGAACCU